AUACCCUCCCUCCCAGACCCUCCCACCUCCUGGACAGCUCACUAAGAAUGCAGCUUCAAAAUGGAUGCUGUCCAGGAGGUGGGAGGGUCUGGGAGGGAGGGUCU
rnacentral:miRNA from 1 species